rnacentral:tRNA from 1 species
GGGGAUUUAGCUCAGCGGCAUAAGCACCUGCCUUGCAAGCAGGUAGUCGUUCAAUCCCUG